rnacentral:lncRNA from 1 species
AUUCCCAAAGGAAAGAAGGACAAAGGGAGAAGAUGCCCCAUCCCCGAUGUCCUGAAGAAACAGUAUGCCAAGGUGGUCGAUCCUUUGAGAAAAGACCCAAGAAAUUCGGCAUUGGGCAGAGCAUCCAGCCCAAAAGAGGUCUCACACACUUCGCCAAAUGGCCCUGGUACAUCAGGCUGCUGCAACAAAGGGCCAUCCUCUGUACGGAAUCAAAGUACCUCCUGCCACUAACUAGUUUACCCAGGCCCUGGACAGGCAAAUAUCAACAUACCCACUUAUGCUUGCCCAUGAGUACAGGCCAGGGACAAAGCAGAAGCAAAGACUAGUGGUGGUGCUCAGAAGAAAGCUGCUGGCAAAGGAGAUGUCCCAACUAAGAGACCAGCUGUCCUCUGGCCAGGAGUCAAUACAGUCACCACUUUGGUGGAGAACAAGAAGGCUCAGCUGGUAGCGAUUGCCUGUGGGUAGACCCCAUUGAGCUGGUCGUUUUCCUGCCUGCCCUGUGUCAAAAGAUGGGGGUCCCAUACUGCACCAUCAAGUAAAAAGCCAGACUGGGGAGCCUGGUCCACAGGAAGACAUACACCACUGUUGCUUUUACAAGGGUUAACUAGGAAGACAAAAGUGCUCUAGCUAAGCUGGUGAAAGCUAUUAGGACAAACUACCACAACAGAUAUGAUGUGAUUUGAUGCCACUGGAGAGGCAAUGUCCUGGGUCCUAAGUCUGUGGCUCACAUUGCCAAGCUGGAAAAAGCAAAGGCUAAAGAACUCGCCACUAAACAGAGUUAA